rnacentral:tRNA from 1 species
UUCAGCUAUAGAUUAGUGGUAGAACAUCUGCUUUGCAAGCAGAAGACCCAGGUUGAAUUCUUGUUAUUUCCUACUGAAA